GAAGUAGGUAGUUUAACCUUCGGGGGGACGCUUACCACUUUGUGGUUCAUGACUGGGGUGAAGUCGUAACAAGGUAGCGCUAGGGGAACCUGGCGCUGGAUCACCUCCUUA
rnacentral:rRNA from 3 species